rnacentral:rRNA from 1 species
GACGAACGCUGGCGGCGUGCUUAACACAUGCAAGUCGAACGGAAAGGCCCUGCUUUUGUGGGGUGCUCGAGUGGCGAACGGGUGAGUAACACGUGAGUAACCUGCCCUUGACUUUGGGAUAACUUCAGGAAACUGGGGCUAAUACCGGAUAGGAGCUCCUGCUGCAUGGUGGGGGUUGGAAAGUUUCGGCGGUUGGGGAUGGACUCGCGGCUUAUCAGCUUGUUGGUGGGGUAGUGGCUUACCAAGGCUUUGACGGGUAGCCGGCCUGAGAGGGUGACCGGCCACCAUGGGACUGCGAUAGGGACCAGUAUCCUACGGGACGCAGCAGUGGGAAAUAUUGCACAGUGGGCGGAAGUCAGAUGCAGCAACGCCGCGUGCGGGAUGACGGCCUUCGAGUUGUAAACCGCUUUCGCCUGUGACGAAGCGGGAGUGACGGUAAUGGGUAAGGAAGCACCGGCUAACUACGUG